UACAGAGGUCCCAAGCGUUGUUCGGAUUCAUUGGGCGUAAAGGGUGCGUAGGCGGCGCCGUAAGUCGGGUGUGAAAUCUCGGGGCUUAACUCCGAAACUGCAUUCGAUACUGCCGUGCUUGAGGACUGGAGAGGAGACUGGAAUUUACGGUGUAGCGGUGAAAUGCGUAGAUAUCGUAAGGAAGACCAGUGGCGAAGGCGGGUCUCUGGACAGUUCCUGACGCUGAGGCACGAAGGCCAGGGGAGCAAACGGG
rnacentral:rRNA from 1 species